UGCGAGUGGUGGAGGAAUUGUGCUGACUGGACUUGUGGGCAUCUGUUUGUACGGAUGCACACGAAAGUCAAAGACAGAGAGGAUUUGGAUCGAAUUCAACAGCAAAAAACAGGGUAUGUUUUUACUCCCCUCCCCCCCAAAUUAAGCCAUUUCUUACUCAAAACAUAAGUACAGGCCAAGGUUUGCUGAAAUGUCAGUCUGCAUUGUAGGACUUCCUUUAGCAACAGCCAGUUCAGACACAACUGGAGAGGAAGAUGCAGUGCUUUAUUCAACCAUCAACGUCAUGCAACCCCCCUCACAACCACCCGGUAUAUUUGAUAAAACUAUAUCUUCAUCUUAGUCUGAACUCUA
rnacentral:lncRNA from 1 species